rnacentral:rRNA from 1 species
AUGCUGGAAGGGAAGGCAACGGUGGAGGACACCGACAUGCCGGCCAAGAUGCAGCUGCAGGCCAUGUCGGCGGCGUCCAGGGCGCUCGACCGCUUCGACGUCCUCGACUGCUGGAGCAUCACGGCGCACAUCAAGAAGGAGUCCGACAUGAUCCAUGGCCCGGGGUGGCAGUGCGUGGUGGGCUGCAGCUUCGGCUGCUACUUCACGCACAGCAAGGGGAGCUUCAUAUACUUCAAGUUCGAGUUGCUCAGGUUCCUCGUCUUCAAAGGCAUGGCGGAUGAGCAACCGCUGCCGUGCUGA